AAAAAAGGCACACGCGAGCUCCUCGGAUACCUUUGUUGUGCACAAGUGGAGUUUACCGCCAUCCAUCCGUUAAAAAAUGGAAGGCCAUGGCCGUUCUUGUCAUUUCGUCCCGAGGCUCAACCCCUCCUCUCAAUAAAUACCCAAAAAUAUCACCACCCCUCCCUCCGGAGAGAGAGAAGGAGAAACGAACUGAACGCGCACGGCGACACAUCCGGUGGCACGCUUCGUUUGGCUCUCAGCGCUCCUCGUACGCACGCACGCACGCACGAACACGCGCGACGCGGGAGCCGUGACGCCUCGCCGGCGGUGGGGAUGACGAGGCGGUGCUCGCACUGCAGCAACAACGGCCACAACGCGCGGACCUGCCCCGCCCGCUCCGGCGGCGGCGGCGGCGGCGGCGGUGUGAGGCUCUUCGGCGUGCACCUCACGUCGCCGCCGGUGGCCGCGAUGAAGAAGAGCGCGAGCAUGAGCUGCAUCGCGUCGUCGCUCGGCGGCGGCGGGUCCGGGGGCUCGUCGCCGGCCGCGGGGCCGGGGGGCGGCGCCGCCAGGGGAGGGGGCGAGGGCGCGCCCGGGUACGUCUCCGACGACCCCAUGCACGCCUCCUGCUCGACCAAUGGCCGGGCCGAGCGCAAGAAAGGUACACCUUGGACUGAAGAAGAGCAUAGAUUGUUUCUACUGGGUCUGCAGAAGCUUGGCAAAGGAGACUGGCGUGGGAUAUCUCGUAGUUUUGUUGUCUCAAGGACCCCAACUCAGGUGGCCAGCCACGCCCAGAAGUAUUUCAUUAGACAGACAAACUUCUCAAGGCGGAAGAGGAGGUCAAGCUUGUUUGACAUGGUCCCAGAAAUGCCAAUGGAUGAGUCCCCUGAUGGCACGGAAGAGUUUAUGCUCUGUGGCACUCAAGAUGAAUCAACAAGUUCAAAUAAACUGUCACUGUUUCAUCUUGAGCGACAGAAGGAAGCAGAGUGUGAUAAAGAUCUGCCAACUUUGCAACUAAGGCAGCACGAGGAAUCUGAAUAUGCAGGGCCUUCACUAGAAGCACCAGACUUGGAGAUGAACAAUGGUGUAUCAUUCAAGACCACAUCUGUCUCGACAGUGCCGGCAUUCUACCCAGCAUUGCUCCCUGUUCCACUAACACUGUGGCCUGCAAAUGUUUCUAAUGUGGAAGCAUCAAACGCAACCCAUGAAGUCCUAAAGCCCACUCCUGUGAAUUUAAAGGAGGCAAUUAAGGCGGAUGAGGUUGUCAGUAUGUCCAAGCUCAGCAUUGGUGGGGGUAGCUCUGGCUCAAUGGAACCUUCUGCUCUUUCCCUUCAGCUUACCGGGCCGACAAAUACAAGGCAAUCAGCUUUUCAUGUGAGCCCACCAAUGACUAGAACUGACCUUAGUCAGGGAAACAACAGCCCAAUCCAUGCAGUUUGAAGAGUCAUGGAAUGGACCUUCCUGGUCAAGUCUUACAGAUUGUAUUAAUGGUCCUGAUACUCUAUAAUGUUGCGUCACUCCAGAAGAUGAAAGAGGAUGAUGCUGCAGUGCAACACAGGUCAGAGACUCAUUUCUCAGUAAUGAAGCAAGAAGCCAAGAAUUUGUACCAAAUCGAAUGAAGUACUCGCGCGAAAGCAAACGAGUGCACCACUGAGUACAUCGAACAGAAGCAUGCAGCUACGAGUGGCUGAAAUGCUGACUGCCGACUCAGUCACCAACUUGUGCCAUGUCGUCCACUGACGCCGAAAAGCAAGAAGAACGUUUUCCUUGCGCCGAUUUGAAACGGGCGCGGGUGUUCCCAAGAAAGAGUGAAUUGCACAUAACCGUAAGAAUUGAGUCACCAGUUUCACAUUACCACAACUUUUGUACUGUCAGCUUCAAUAAAAUUAUUACAACUUUUGUGGCAAAUUCAUUAACCAGGCAGCUAAUUUGACAAGGCUGGCCGACAUGCCAGGGUCUAGAUGGAUUGGCACUGAUAUGUGGGUCAACCUCGUCAAUUCCGCUAUUAACCGCGCUGUUAGCGACUUGAGCACAAAAGUUGCUGUUUUGUGCAAGUUGACACACAAGUCAUGGUUCUGUAAAAUAGUGGCACAAUUGUUGUCGUUCUGUAUAAUUUACUCAAUAUUUUGUUGUUCCUGCCCACCAGGCACCAGCAAGAGAAGGCUGUCAAAGUGUCCAGUGAUGCCCACAAGAACUCGCGCAACGGUAAAUAUGACCCACC
rnacentral:rRNA from 1 species